UACGUAGGUGGCAAGCGUUAUCCGGAUUUAUUGGGCGUAAAGGGAACGCAGGCGGUCUUUUAAGUCUGAUGUGAAAGCCUUCGGCUUAACCGGAGUAGUGCAUUGGAAACUGGGAGACUUGAGUGCAGAAGAGGAGAGUGGAACUCCAUGUGUAGCGGUGAAAUGCGUAGAUAUAUGGAAGAACACCGGUGGCGAAAGCGGCUCUCUGGCCUGUAACUGACACUGAGGCUCGAAAGCGUGGGGAGCAAGCAGG
rnacentral:rRNA from 1 species